rnacentral:rRNA from 1 species
AUUGAACGCUGGCGGCAGGCCUAACACAUGCAAGUCGAACGGUAACAGGAAGAAGCUUGCUUCUUUGCUGACGAGUGGCGGACGGGUGUGUAAUGUCUGGGAAACUGCUUGAUGGAGGGGGAUAACUACUGGAAACGGUAGCUAAUACCGCAUAACGUCGCAAGACCAAAAAGGGGGACCUUCGGGCCGCUCUGCAUCGGAUUUGCCCAGAUGGGAUUAGCUAGUAGGUGGGGUAACGGCUCACCUAGGCGACGAUCCCUAGCUGGUCUGAGAGGAUGACCAGCCACACUGGAACUGAGACACGGUCCAGACUCCUACGGGAGGCAGCAGUGGGGAAUAUUGCACAAUGGGCGCAAGCCUGAUGCAGCCAUGCCGCGUGUAUGAAGAAGGCCUUCGGGUUGUAAAGUACUUUCAGCGGGGAGGAAGAGAGUAGAGUUAAUACCUUCGCUCAUUGACGUUACCCGCAGAAGAAGCCCCGGCUAACUCCGUG